GGGGAUGACGAGCUUUUGCUUUGCCGAGCGGUGAUGAACACGCCCUUCACUGACCC
rnacentral:snoRNA from 1 species